UGAGGAGCCCAGGGCUAUGAAAGGUUGAAACAUUUCUUACUUAAGAAACAUUUCUGGGGCAUGAGCUGCAGACCCACAUCGCUGUACUGCUUCUCAACAAGACGACCUCAGCUUGUGAGAUCCAGAACUUGCCACGGUCACCCCUUAGAUAAGAGACCCCUGGUGUCUGCCAAUAAGUAUACAGAAUGGCUCCAGUCUGCUAAGCCACUUCAUCUCUUCAUGCCUCAGUUUCCUUCCCUACAGAGCAGGGAAGGAAAAAUGUAAGAAUCCAGUAAGAAAAUGUACACAUAGAACUUCGUACAACGCCUACAUGUGAAUGCUUGUUUACGGUCUACGGCCAUGUCCCCAGAAGAUGAAAACUCUCAGUCUUGUGAUGUAGCUUCUCCCAACCAGGGGAGAUGUCACCUCCAGUUCUGACACACGUUGUGCUUGCUGGCUGUGAGGGUGGUCCCGGGAAGGAAUCUCACUGCCAAUUUGAGCAGAUCCCUUUGAUUCUUCCCUAUGCACUAUCACUGUCAUCUGCCAAUGAGCCUCUUGAUGUCCCUGUUCCUCUGAGGUCGUCUUGCUCAUAGCACUCCCUUGCCAAGCUCNAAGUCACUGUCAUCUGCCAAUGAGCCUCUCGAUGUCCCUGUUCCUCUGAGGUCGUCUUGCUCAUAGCACUCCCUUGCCAAGCUCUAAGUUGUUGGAAACAUGCCCCUUAUUCAUCAUCUGUGCCCUCACCUUCAGUGACACCUCACCUUCAGGCUUCAGUGACAUCCUUCUUCUCCCCAGGGUGCUGGUCACCACGCCCUCGAUACUCCUCGGUCAGCCCCACCACUACCUGCCCCUGCAGCUGCCGACACCCAUUCUAACACCCUCAACUCCAGUAGAAGGCUCUAGACUCAGGUGCUGUCCCUCUCAGCUCCACUCCAAGGCGACCACCUGCCACCUACACAGCCGCCCUCAGGAAGUAACAAGCAUGCGAGAAGCACUGAUGCAUUAAGAAGAGCCUUCGCUGUUCCUAAACUCAGAGGAAGAAGGAAUUUGCCUGAGGCCAGGCCUGGGGAGGCUGCCGUUUUUCUUCCUGAACUCUCCCUCCUCCCAAGGGGCCAUAUUUAAUUUAUGAUGCUGGAGCUAGCACCAUUGCCAGAUAUAUUUCCUUGAUGAUUAAACAUUAAACACACAAGUAUUUCAAAGCAUUUGAAAUAACUCAGAACUAAUGAAGGACUAAUUGCUUCACUCUGUGUAUUCAAAUAGUGAUGUUAUUUUAAAAAAAUGCAUUCUU
rnacentral:lncRNA from 1 species